rnacentral:RNase_P_RNA from 1 species
CAGGUUGGCUAGACGGUCGCUGCUGGCAUUUGCCAGGAGAGGAAAGUCCGGGCUUCAAAGGGCAGAGCGGUCGGUAACGCCGACCAGUCGCGAGACUAGGGAAAGUGCAACAGAAAGCAAACCGCCAACAUUCGGCAUGUCCGGGUGCGGUAAGGGUGAAACGGUGAGGUAAGAGCUCACCAGCGCUCAAGGUGACUUGGGUGGCUUGGUAAACCCCGCUCGAAGCAAGAUCAAACAGAGAGGAGUGGCUGUCGUAAGACUGGCCACACGACUUGGCCCGGGUCGUCGGACUCUCGGGUAGAUUGCUGGAGGCCGUGAGCAAUUGCGGUCCUAGAUAAAUGGCCGUCAACACUCACGACUUUGCAACAGCAAGGUGUGUGGGUGAGACAGAACCCGGCUUAUCGGCCAACCUGUGCC